rnacentral:rRNA from 1 species
AUUGAACGCUGGCGGCAGGCCUAACACAUGCAAGUCGAACGGUAACAGGAAGAAGCUUGCUUCUUUGCUGACGAGUGGCGGACGGGUGAGUAAUGUCUGGGAAACUGCCUGAUGGAGGGGGAUAACUACUGGAAACGGUAGCUAAUACCGCAUAACGUCGCAAGACCAAAGAGGGGGACCUUCGGGCCUCUUGCCAUCGGGUGUGCCCAGAUGGGAUUAGCUUGUUGGUGGGGUAACGGCUCACCAAGGCGACGAUCCCUAGCUGGUCUGAGAGGAUGACCAGCCACACUGGAACUGAGACACGGUCCAGACUCCUACGGGAGGCAGCAGUGGGGAAUAUUGCACAAUGGGCGCAAGCCUGAUGCAGCCAUGCCGCGUGUAUGAAGAAGGCCUUCGGGUUGUAAAGUACUUUCAGCGGGGAGGAAGGGAGUAAAGUUAAUACCUUGGCUCAUUGACGUUACCCGCAGAAGAAGCACCGGCUAACUCCGUG